rnacentral:rRNA from 1 species
GUGCACGCUGGCGGUAGGCCUAACACCUGCAAGUCGCACGGCAGCACAGUAAGAGCUUGCUCUUACGGGUGGCGAGUGGCGGACGGGUGAGGAAUACAUCGGAAUCUACUUUUUCGUGGGGGAUAACGUAGGGAAACUUACGCUAAUACCGCAUACGACCUACGGGUGAAAGCAGGGGAUCUUCGGACCUUGCGCGAUUGAAUGAGCCGAUGUCGGAUUAGCUAGUUGGCGGGGUAAAGGCCCACCAAGGCGACGAUCCGUAGCUGGUCUGAGAGGAUGAUCGGCCACACUGGAACUGAGACACGGUCCAGACUCCUACGGGAGGCAGCAGUGGGGAAUAUUGGACAAUGGGCGCAAGCCUGAUCCAGCCAUACCGCGUGGGUGAAGAAGGCCUUCGGGUUGUAAAGCCCUUUUGUUGGGAAAGAAAAGCAGCAGGUUAAUACCCCGCUGUUCUGACGGUACCCAAAGAAUAAGCACCGGCUAACUUCGUG